GAUGAACGCUGGCGGCGUGCCUAAUACAUGCAAGUCGAGCGAACAGAUAAGGAGCUUGCUCCUUUGACGUUAGCGGCGGACGGGUGAGUAACACGUGGGUAACCUACCUAUAAGACUGGAAUAACUCCGGGAAACCGGGGCUAAUGCCGGAUAACAUUUAGAACCGCAUGGUUCUAAAGUGAAAGAUGGUUUUGCUAUCACUUAUAGAUGGACCCGCGCCGUAUUAGCUAGUUGGUAAGGUAACGGCUUACCAAGGCAACGAUACGUAGCCGACCUGAGAGGGUGAUCGGCCACACUGGAACUGAGACACGGUCCAGACUCCUACGGGAGGCAGCAGUAGGGAAUCUUCCGCAAUGGGCGAAAGCCUGACGGAACAACGCCGCGUGAGUGAUGAAGGUCUUCGGAUCGUAAAACUCUGUUAUUAGGGAAGAACAAAUGUGUAAGUAACUGUGCACGUCUUGACGGUACCUAAUCAGAAAGCCACGGCUAACUACGUG
rnacentral:rRNA from 1 species